UGAGGUUUUGAUGUUCAUUUGUUUGAUGCAGUCGAGCGGUAACAGGAAGAAAGCUUGCUUUCUUUGCUGACGAGCGGCGGACGGGUGAGUAAUGCCUAGGGAACUGCCCAGUCGAGGGGGAUAACAGUUGGAAACGACUGCUAAUACCGCAUACGCCCUACGGGGGAAAGGAGGGGCUCUUCGGACCUUUCGCGAUUGGAUGUACCUAGGUGGGAUUAGCUUGUUGGUGAGGUAAGAGCUCACCAAGGCGACGAUCCCUAGCUGUUCUGAGAGGAUGAUCAGCCACACUGGGACUGAGACACGGCCCAGACUCCUACGGGAGGCAGCAGUGGGGAAUAUUGCACAAUGGGCGAAAGCCUGAUGCAGCCAUGCCGCGUGUGUGAAGAAGGCCUUCGGGUUGUAAAGCACUUUCAGCGAGGAGGAAAGGUUAACGGUUAAUACCCGUUAGCUGUGACGUUACUCGCAGAAGAAGCACCGGCUAACUUCGUGCCAGCAGCCGCGGUAAUACGAGGGGUGCAAGCGUUAAUCGGAAUUACUGGGCGUAAAGCGUACGCAGGCGGUUUGUUAAGCGAGAUGUGAAAGCCCCGGGCUCAACCUGGGAACUGCAUUUCGAACUGGCAAACUAGAGUCUUGUAGAGGGGGGUAGAAUUUCAG
rnacentral:rRNA from 1 species